rnacentral:rRNA from 2 species
UUUUGUAUAAUGGGUCAGCGACUUAUAUUCUGUAGCAAGGUUAACCGUAUAGGGGAGCCGGAGGGAAACCGAGUCUUAACCGGGCGUUAAGUUGCAGGGUAUAGACCCGAAACCCGGUGAUCUAGCCAUGGGCAGGUUGAAGGUUGGGUAACACUAACUGGAGGACCGAACCGACUAAUGUUGAAAAAUUAGCGGAUGACCUGUGGCUGGGGGUGAAAGGCCAAUCAAACCGGGAGAUAGCUGGUUCUCCCCGAAAGCUAUUUAGGUAGCGCCUCGUGAAUUCAUCUCCGGGGGUAGAGCACUGUUUCGGCUAGGGGGCCAUCCCGGCUUACCAACCCGAUGCAAACUGCGAAUACCGGAGAAUGUUAUCACGGGAGACACACGGCGGGUGCUAACGUCCGUCGUGAAGAGGGAAACAACCCAGACCGCCAGCUAAGGUCCCAAAGUCAUGGUUAAGUGGGAAACGAUGUGGGAAGGCCCAGACAGCCAGGAUGUUGGCUUAGAAGCAGCCAUCAUUUAAAGAAAGCGUAAUAGCUCACUGGUCGAGUCGGCCUGCGCGGAAGAUGUAACGGGGCUAAACCAU